GGUUGUUUCUUGUUUUUUAAAAACCGUAAUGUUGUAGUGAAAGAGAAUACUCAUGGCGAUUACAGUAGGAGAGACCUUUGUCUCGAAAAAAAAAAUCCGUAUAGAGGAUUUUUGUUGUUGUUGUUGUUGUUUGGUUUGAUUUUUUUUUGCUUUUGUUUUUUGAGACAACAACCAGGUCGUGAUCCACCUGCCUCAGCCUCCUGAGUUCUGGGAUUAAAGGCAUGUGCCACUGUGUGUGUGUGUGUGUGUGUGUGUGUGUGUGUGUGUGUGUGUGUGUGUGUGUGUGUGUGUGUUUGUGUGUGUGUAUUUCUGUCUUAAGAGGAACUGAAGGGCCGGGUAUGGUGGCGCAUGCCUUUAAUCCCAGCACUUGGGAGGCAGAGGCAUGUGGAUCUCUGAGUUCAAGGCCAGCCUGGUCUACAGAGUGAGUUCCAGGACAGCCAGGGCUAUACAGAGAAACCCUGUCUCGAAAAAAAACCAAAAAAAAAAAAAAAAAAAAGUCCAGCCCUAUCCUCUUCUCUGUUCAAUCAUUGGCUGAUCAGCUUUUUUAUUGACCAGUGAGGGAAUAACUGGGGAGUAAUAGUUACGUUUACAACAUUGAAACAAGAGAUUCUCAGAAUAAGGAUUGUAAUCAGGUACGGGAGCAGCACAGAAAUCAGCGUUUGAAUAAUGCAGGUAUAACCUCAAACACUGCACAGGAGCAUUAUGCCGACCACAGGAGAGGACAGAGCUCAGUUGCUGGAGCAUCACCCAGUGUGAGAAAAGAGAGACUCUGAAACAAACCAAAGAAAGUUUUAAUGUUGUUUAUUUGUAAGUUUUGAGACAAGGUCUUUCUAUGUGUCCCUGGCUGCCUGGAACUCAAUAUGUGUACCAGGUUGCCCCCAAAUUCCAGAGAGUUCCGCCUGGCUCUCUAUUUCUGAGAUUAAAGGUUAUGUGUCACCUUGAUACACCAAAAGAAAAUUAGUAUUAGAUAUAGUUGACUUGAGUCAAAAAUAAAUGAAAC
rnacentral:lncRNA from 1 species